rnacentral:lncRNA from 1 species
GGAAUAAACGCCAAAACUCCCUCCUCGGCCGCUCUCACACCCCCAACCUCCGGCUUCUUCCUCACGACCGUCGAUGCUGUCAGCAUACGUGUUCUUUAUGAAUCUCUAACAGCACAUUUUCGGCCUAAACUGCGCGAAAAGCCGGGCAGACCCGCUGGAUCUCACACACGCAGAAGAACUACCUGAGGGGAGGGGAAGAGGGGAGCGAGAAAGGAGCGGGAAUUUUUGCAGACCUGCUCAGGAGGUUUUGACUGAAACUUUCAGUAAGACACUCGAGGCUGAGAAUCUUCCCCGAAGCGUUUAGGACUCAAAGGCAAGUGGGAGAAAGCUUUUUUCCUCAGAGCGAAUGCGAUAGCACUCGCUGAAGGCAUUUCUGUUCUGCAGGGAAUGAGACAAGCAGAGAACGAGCCUCGUUUGCCCGUUAGGGAACAGCGCUCGGGGAGUAGGAAUGGCGCGCUUCCAUCCAGACCAGCGGGCGCUGCCACUGCCAGGAGCUCGCUCAGCCUUUCAGGGCAAACACAGCUCCUGCCGUUCGUAAGCAGCCCGUCUUUCUAACCACCAUAUCUCCUCUCCGUUGUACCCCUACGCCGCCCUGCCUCCCUUGCCCGGCUUCAGCCCCUCCAGCGCUACGGCUGAUGGAGGGAGGGGAGGCGGCGGCUGGGGUUUCGUUCGACGCCCACCAGGGGCUGAGCGAGCCUUCUUCAGUGCGCAAACUCGGGGCACCAGAUAAAAGCUGGGCUGGCAGCUCUUACCCUGCCUCGAUGGAGCCGCCACUUUCGGGUGACUGGAGAAGCAGUUAGCAGCAGCGCCAUAGACUAGCGUCCCCCCACACCUUGGGCACAGAGAGUUUGGGGCUCUAAAGAGCUGCUGCUGCGGCAGGAGGGAGCCGAGGUGAAGGGAUCUGCUAGCUGGUUGGACGCAGAGGAGGCGGCUGUAAUGGGGCAUUAAGUCUGAGGGAGGAGGGGGGGCGAUUAAACCUCUUGUGAUCAUGGCGGAGUCUAUGGGUAUUUUUUUUUCCUGUCUAACUCUUCUGUGCGUGUGUCUCUUGUUUCUUUCUCUCUCUCUCCUUAGGGCGCUUGGCUGGGGCUGUUCGCUCGGGUUCUGCCUGUUGUUGCGCGAAAUGGCGGCUGGCGUCUUGCUACUGAGCAUUUGGGCACUUCAGAAGUUCUCAAGGCCAAUAUUAAACUGUUACAACUUUGGAAGCACUGUAAAAGAUUAAGACCAAUGAACUGAGGACAAAUGGGAAAUGUACUUUCUAAAAUGCUUUCAUCCAAACAAAUACUUAAAAUCUAUGAGUACCAGUACAGCCAUAAAAGGAAGCAGAAAGGAAAAUUUUGCACAUGAAGUGCUGUUCAGCUUCAUGUUAGGAAAAACUGAUGUUGGGAAUCAGCAAAGCCAUCUGAAACAAACAGGUUAUCCCUUGGCAAGAGUACCUAAAGUUCUUUGUAAUGAAAGAAGACACAAUAACUCUUAGGAAAUCAAGUGAGCUAAUAUGAACCACCAAAGACAUCCCAAGGAUGGGAUGCAAGGCAAAAAAAAAAAAUAGGGCCUCUCAAGGCACUUCUGAAGUGAUGCUAAUCUGCAUCAGUGAAACCAAGAUUGCUACAAGCAACACUGACCUUACAGUUAAUUUCAACACUUGUACUUAGGCCUUUUAAUUCCAAGGUUUCUUGAAGGUUGAGUGGACUGAAUGGCAAAAAAGAAGCCUUUUCUGCACUCCCUCCCUUUUUCCUGAACCUCUGCUGGGCUAAUUCUUUGCAGCUGCCCAGGCAGAGAGCCAGACCCUUCAGGUAGUGUAUUAUGGACAGAACAAGAGAAGGAGUUCUGGCAUCCUCACAAACAGUGCACCCUUGGGCAGGGGAAAGCCCAGAAAAUACCAAAGGGCCUGGUAUUGCUCUCCCACAUGGGCUUUGUAAGAGCCAAGAUAAAGAGCAUCCAGCAAAGCAGUAUAAUGUAGCAGUGGGACUCCAAAGGCUAGCCCAUGGAGAAGGGAUGUAGGUCAACUCUGCUCUCUUCAAUCAGGACAUAUGGUUUUACAUAUCUUCAUAGGGACCUUUGAUGCAUGUGCACAAUAAAAUUAAUGUGGAAGUUAAAAACCUCUUCUGC